rnacentral:tRNA from 1 species
GUCAGGGUGGCCGAGCGGUCUAAGGCGCUGCGUUAAGGUCGCAGUCUCCCCUGGAGGCGUGGGUUCGAAUCUCACUCCUGACA